GUGCUCACUUUGGCAGCACAUAUACUAAAACUGGAACAAUAGAGAGAUUAGCAUGGCCCCUGCGCAAGGAUGAUGCACAAAUUCAUGUAGAGUUCCAUGUUUUA